AUGCUUAACUGGCCAGAAACGGAAGGGAAAAAGCGAGACGACUAUGACAACAUGCAUGGGCGUGGCACCGGCAAUAUUGAAAAUUGCGUUAGCGAAGAGUACAGAUGUGCUAAGGUAGCACGUGAAGGGACUGUCCCAGAGGAAGAAACGAAGAAAUCUAAACGAAAAGGUGGUGGCAGGAGUAGAAAGCCAAGCACGUCCACGGUUUCAUCGAACACGACUUGUAGUAUGGACCGUGUGAUGACAUACAUAAAGCUGCUUCACAAGGAGGUUCUCAAUAUACCCGAAAGAUGUGCACAGAUGGUAAUGGAAAGGUUGAACACGCAAGGUGUGCUGUACAAACCCAAUAAGAGGGACAACAAUGACGAAUUUGAUAAUGUAGGUGAAGGAGUUGGGAUGGAGAAUGGCCUGUACAAGUCAUCAAAAUAUUGGCCAAAUAUUGAUUCACCUACCGACGUAAAGGUACCAACAUCUUCCACGGGUAUCAAUGAUACCUCCGUGCCCGUUGAUGACACGGGUGCUCCGGCGACGACACCGGGUAAAGGUGAAGCUACUGAUCCUUUCAUUAUAGACGAUAAUGGAAACUCUCCAUCUUCGGCAUCAACUGUACGUACAAAAGACUUUCCGUCUAUGUCCCGAACCCCGCAGAAUGCUGAUAUUUCUGGUGAGUCUAUGGAUGCUUUGUCACCAACAAAGUCCGAAGACACGUUUGAGAGUUUUCCGGCAAAGAGCAACAUAGGUAAUGGUGAAGGCAGUCAGGAAAAUGAUGAUCUGUUUGCAUCGUCACCACAUUCAAUUCUAGCAAGUUCUCUUAAUAUGACUCCGGAUCACAUAGAGGCAACCAGAGUUUUUGUUGAGACUCUAGCAUCGACAAAGAAGCAUGCACAUCGAACCGUGGUCGAUAUGCCGCCACCAGAUGGGGACAUAUGCACGCCAUCUAUGCUUCACGAUGUCCUGACGUUUAAAUGGUUGCAUGGCGCUAUCAUCAAUGCAUAUUGUAAACACCUACAACACCGUGAUUUUUCUGAUCGUUACAUAUCAACAACGUGGUUCCCUAAAUUUAUGUUGAGUAGGGCAAGGGGAAAGACCAAGUCAGUAAAUGAUUUAGACUCAGAACAUGUUACAAAGAAAACAAAAGUCAUCGCAAGAGUAAUGGAUGAGUAUUUCAGACGAGACAAGGCGUAUUUUCCUAUGCACGUUAAUGAUAAUCAUUGA
rnacentral:rRNA from 1 species